rnacentral:lncRNA from 1 species
GUGAAAGAGAACACUGAGUCAGAAGAGCCUUAGUCACAGGCUUCUGAAAUCUAAGGUUCCCUGCAGGGCUGCUCUGAUUCUAUCUGGCCUGGGUUUAAAUGACUCAAGAAAUUCUCCAGGGGAAACUAAUCUAUUGGAACAGCAGUUACUAACAGGGCAUUUGCUGUUCUUCAACCAAAAUUUCAGCCUGGUUCUCCUGACAUUCUCAGUUAUUACUCGCUUCCAGGAUACAGCACUGUCUUUCUUACGAGGGGUCCCAGGUGAACUGUCUGGGGUGUGGAUGGGAGCUGCUGCUGUCUCUGUAUUCAGAAGUCUGUAACCUAAGUGUGCCCCAGGAAAACUGACAGCUGGGAAAUUCAGCUAAAUAAACAGUGUCCUGAACACGCAGCUUUCCAUUACAAUAACAUACAAGCCAAGAUGUUAAGGAGUCAAGGAAGACUUCAACAAAGCCCAGAGAAGCCACCUCUGUUUGGGUUUCAGCAGCUGCCUGCCUGUGGACGGCUCCAGAGUCACUGACACGUAUUUAUAUCUCCAUUUUGCUAACGUCAUAAGGAACAAACAUGUUCAGAUCUUCCCCAGAGGCACAAGGCCAUUUGUAUUUCUUCAAAUUAAAGGGGGCAGAGCAGGAGGCAAAAAGCUUUUGGAUCAAAUCAUCUGUGGUCUACAGUCCUGUGAGAAAGGGUCUCCUCCUCUGAACCGAGUACCCAGCCGAUCCCAGCAGGCUGGGCCAGCGCCCCGGCAGCAAGGAAUUCUAGCAACAGCAGGAAUUUCUCGAAGAAAGGCGCUCUGGCUUGACUAGACCAUCAUUGUCUAUGAAGCCUGGUUGUUUAUGCUUUAGAGAACAGAUCACAAAUCCUGGAUACUGAGACCUGGACAGAUACUAGACCUGGACAGCUCAGCUCAGAGCCUGAUACUGUCCCCACAGCACACCUGCAAAAAGAUGGGUCAAGAGAUGGGUUGCUCCUCCUCAGAGCUGCUGGGUGCAGUGAACAGCCUUGUGGCUUCCUGGCUCAGCCACUAGGAGCUCCCUGGGAAUCAGUAAGCACUCAAACACUGACCUCUGACUGGUCAGCCAACCAGAGCACACUGGGAAGUGACCCUGCCCACGGAGGCCCACACCCACCUCCACACUCACCUCUACUUCAGAAGGCAAAAGUUAGUGCUUGGAAAAAGUAUGCUAGAAGAGAUGAACGCCUUGCUAAGGAAAAACAUCAAAAGAGGGGGCCCAUCCUCCAUGACAUCAGAGGGCUAUAAAGGCUUAACAGACUGAAGGCUGGUCAGCUCAAGCUAAAACUUGGCUGUAGGCAGAAGGAUCUCUCCGCUUUCAGGGAGGACAACAUGGCGUGGAUCAGUAAACUGUACCGACUCGAGGAUGAAGGUGAAAUGACAAUGAGAGGGAGACUUCAUGAGCACACAAGGGCAAUUCUGAGAUCUAGAACACCCACAGCCCCCAUGGGGAGGUAGAGGUGGGACAGGAGAGCACUGUGACUCCAUCUGGAACCAUGAAACCACAAUGGAGCUGAGAGGCACAAAGGAGUUCCACAUGCAAGAGGCAAGUAUCAGCACUGGUGGAAAUGAAGCAUAAAGAUCUCGAUUUUUCAAGGGAUGUCAACCUAUGGGGGAGUGAGUGGUGACUGCAGAUGCUGAAACCUUAUAAACAGAAAGAACAUCACAAAAGGCAUGGUUUUUCUAUCAGGGCUGAAGACUACCCUCACUCUCAAGUCCAGCAGCCUAUCCAGAUGCUCACAUACUCGUUCCUAGAGAAUGCUGAGACUUUGCACACUCCCGCUCCCACCCCACCAAAAUGCUAAGCUAUUCAGUUUCCUCAGGAAGACAGUACUUAGGAGAAAAUACUGGAUGUUUACUGCUGUCAUUACGGUCAUCACAGACAAGAAACUAGGCAAUUUCCUUCUCGGGAAAAGGAUGCAUCAGAACUCAUGGAUGGUACAGGUUUAACUUUUAGGCAUUAGCUUUCCUGCUCUCACAGUCAGGGCAGUGGGGAAUGGCUAAUGAGGUUACUGCAAGUAGACUUGAGGUGAAGCAUCACUAAACACAAACAUCUUGGAUCGAGUAUUAAAGCUGGAAUGCGGGGCAAGGGUCUGACCGUGACGGUCCUCACAAAGCCUCCAGCAGUCUGUAACUCCAUGAGGGAAGGAUGACAGUACCAAUCUUUCCUCCUCUGCGGUCUCUGUCUCUGUGUCUCUGUCCACUAUGCUGUGGGAAUUAACACUUGGCUAACUCACUGGUGACCUCAGACAUUAAGCUGGCAAGCCAUUCCCUUCAGCAUAAGUCUUAGAGGUACAGCUUUUGUUUUUUAUCUGCUCUUUAACUGUC